rnacentral:rRNA from 1 species
CCAAUAGCGUAUAUUAAAGUUGUUGCAGUUAAAAAGCUCGUAGUUGAAUUUCGGGAUUAGCAGGUCGGUCGUGCCACUGGUACGUACUGGUCUUGCUGAUUCCUCCCUCUUGACGAGCCGUAAUGCCAUUAAUUUGGUGUUACGGGGAAUCAGGACUGUUACUUUGAAAAAAUUAGAGUGUUUAAAGCAGGCAUGCGCUUGAAUACAUUAGCAUGGAAUAAUGAAAUAGGACGUUCGAUCUUAUUUUGUUGGUUUCUAGGAUUGACGUAAUGAUUAAUAGGGAUAGUUGGGGGCAUUAGUAUUCAAUUGUCAGAGGUGAAAUUCUUGGAUUUAUUGAAGUCUAACUACUGCGAAAGCAUUUGCCAAGGAUGUUUUCAUUAAUCAAGAACGAAAGUUAGGGGAUCGAAGACGAUCAGAUACCGUCGUAGUCUUAACCAUAAACUAUGCCGACUAGGGAUCGGAUGAUGUUAAUUUUUUAACGACUCAUUCGGCGCCUUACG